UUUACAAAGGAUAAGGCGCUCUUUCAAUGUGGUUUCUAUCCCCCGGUAUUGACUAGUGAAACAAGCCAAAACCCUUUGAUAUAUAACAUCAAAAUAGAAAUCCUUUGUUUGCCGUUAUCGCUAAAAACGGCAAUUGUUUACCGGCGGUUGUAUUCCGUUUGCUCAGAAUCAACCUUUUUCAGGGCAUCACGGACUCGUAGUAAGAGUGCACAGCUACAUGGAAUCAUGCAGGAUCUAUUCGAUGUUAUUGAUAUCACAACACUGUCGUCUGCGUGUAGGACCGCGUACGCAGUCCAGGUCGACGAAUGAACAUCGCCCGCCGUGCUAGCGCAUCUCGCUCUGUCCUGUCAGCUCUGCUCCCCUCAUCGAGGUAGCAGCAACCACUAGCGCCCCCAUUUGGAGGUAGACGACCAAAAAGAGAUGGAUGAAAUCUAAAGGGAUCUGAAGAUGGGGUCGUCUGGGUGUACUCCCGCUUCCUUCUCAUCAGUUACUUGCCAAGUAUUCUGUGCGACGAUUUCAGCCAGCAGCGCUGUUUUGUUGUCUAGACAAUCUACAAAGAAUGCGUUCACGCUGUGAGAGACUCUAUCUUGUCUGUCCAGCCGAUAUACUCUUUCAACGCUAUCGUACCCUCAUGGCGAGGUGAAGCGAAGUGAGGGACAUCCUGAGUAAGUUAGGCUGGGGUUGAUGUGCGUCUGCGGGAUGAAGCCGUAGUGGAGCACCCAUUACGCAGAUGCUCGUGUACUCUGUUCUUCGCAUUCGCUAGUCUAUACCCUCCUGGCGAACCCCUUCCCUCGCUCCCCCAGUUCGUUCAUCUCUAUUUCGUUCUUACAAAGGCGGAGGAUGGCGAAUAAGAUCGCAGCGAGAGAGUGGAGCACCCUCUCCCGAAGCAGUGCAGGGAAGGGUAACAAAAUAUGAAGUACGAUUUACUAAAGUAAAUGAAGUACUGAAGUUUGAGUUAGUAGCUAAUCUAAAAAAGAACUAGUUAAUUUUGAAUGUGUUUAAUAAAUUAGACUGCUGGGGAAAUGCAUUCUGACUCGACGCGGUCGAGAAAAAUGUGUUGAGUACACCUAUUCUUAUAUUUUAUAAUAUUUAGACUAACAUUUUUAUUUGCGCACAUUGUGUAUACUUCUGUACUUCAUAAUGGCCUUCAACGAUUGUGUAAAGCAAUUCAAGAACCAUAUAGACUCGUAGGUAAUCGACAUUGACUCCAAUGAUGUCUAUACUAUUUUGAAGUUUAAGCACUUACCGCUAGGUGUUCUAAGAAACAGCAGAAUCCACCAGAAUGUUAUCUGGAGCCGAAUAAUUAUGCUGAAGUUCUUUGAAAACUAUCCUGAUGUUCAAUACGAACCUCAACGAUAUCACUUAGGGAAAAAGAUCAGGCUUACAGGACAGAGUAAGCAGUUAGACUAAGCAAGAACAUGCCCAGCAUUCAUACGGCUGUUACAAAUAUCACAUGAGACGAAGGUCAAUCAGAAGGAGACAAGACGUAGUGCCUGUUUGCUUGAGCCAUAACGGCCCAUGAUCCAUCGAUGCGACGCAGUGGCGACGCACUCAUGCUCAACGAAUUACCCUUGACGUAACUGAUGACCGCAUUUCGUAGCUGCCGGAUUAAGGCGUCGGCGUUAAAUUUGGUGACGAUAAAAGACUAAGUUUUCUAAACACCCUAAUUUUCGAUAACUGUGAAACCAUAUCCGGAAUAUGCAAAAAAAAUAAUAAACAAUGCGUAGGAUCCCCUCCGCGAUACAUUUCACUAUAGCAAUUAUUAUAAUUAGAUACAAAUACACUU